UCGUUUUCUUGUAUAAUUUAUUAAUUUCACAAAAGGUGUUUUUACUUUAAAACCGAAAUCAAGCGAGUUUUGCAGAGGAUAAUUAAUCACUAAUAGAAAUCAGUGUACAUUAUUUAGUAAUCGUGGAAAUCUUUGGUAAUCUUACGGGAAAUUUUGGUAAUCGUUGGGAAAAUUAUAAUAUUAUGGAGUCUGGUGUACAUAAUAUUCAUCAGUGAUUUACCCUCUGGAUUGUUUUGUAUAGUGUCUGGGUAAGCGUAUUUUAAAUAUGUUGUGUGUUCGUAAGACGGAAAAACAAAUGCAUGUGUCGCGUAUAGUUCUCUUUCACAAUAACAAUAAACGCCGACUUCGAUACUUACGAUUAUUUUUUUCAUCGACUCGAUCGUUUAGGUUAUUACACACUCGAGACGCUGACUUCUUCGGAGCUGUGGAGCAACGGUCCAGUCAAAUAUUGUACAUUAUCUGUAAUAUUUAACAUCGUUUAGCGAACGCCAAGAAAAACGAUACCUACGAAUUUAUCAACACACUGCACCAUCGCCUAAGUAUAUAAUAUAACUAUUGCCUAUGAACUGACUGGUGAACACACAGCUGUUAUUGAAAUCUGGCCUCUAUCAAAAAAUUUUGUAAGUCGUUUUCACUUAACACUGCAGUCGUAGUUUCGAAAUGUUCAGAAGUACGGUUUAGCUACAGAAUAGAUUAAAAUAAUACAGAUAUUGGUAAAUGGAUUAAAUACACUUUUGGGAUAUUAAAUUUAUAUAGAACCCCGUGAAGUGUGUUGCUGAUGCCGGAAUGCCCGACUGACGAUAGAGUUAUUAAGUAUUUGUGAUUGUUUAAUUAUAUUUCUGUAGAGGAUAGUACGCGUUUACUCCUAGUUUAUGGGCACGCAGUUCAGCGAAUAUACGGCUUACGACUAAUGCGUACGACGAGUCGUUCCGUUCGUUCUUUAAUGACCGUUUUUAUUAUAAUUCUCCAUCCAUACUGAGAUGGUUAAAUGUUGAACGGAAUUACGUCCAAACUGGUACUUACAUACAAAUCAAUAGCGAUUGAAAUACCUACCGAAAGUAUCAAAAGACGCAAACACAAUUCAAAGAAAAAAUGAUACUCAAAUAUUAUAACGUAAUUUACGUACCUUAACGACCGUUGCCAACGUAAUUUUAAAUCGAUUUAGUCUGGGCGAAACGACGACGGUCAUCUUUGGUCCCCCAGUAUAUUGACGCUAUGGACAAACGGGUUAGGGUUUCGUGUAUCGGACGACGAAUCGGAGAUAACGCACUCAUGUUGAUAGUACGUGCGUAUCGUAACGUUCAUAACAUUAGAUCAUAUUACGCUAUACGGGCAAAAUAUUUUGUUUGAAACUAUAUCCGUAUGCUCCCGUGUUGGACAAACGGACGACCUCGGGUAUCGGACACUCGAUAAAUGUACCCACUCUGGAAUAACCUUAAAUACCGUUGGCAAUCGCCGGUCACUUAGUUAUUGUCACGGCUAUAGAUAGGUGGAUCGGUUGCGCAACGUUCCUCGACCAAAUUGGCGUCUAUAUAACGGUCUUAUCAAUAAUGACAAAAACUUGCUCGCUGCCAGCGCCCUGGCGGACGUUAAUAGAACGAUAGUAAUACCAAUGAUAAAUCGAUAAAUAAAUAUCAUCCACUAGGGAGGGGGGAGGAACUCUUGUAGCGAGCCGCAGGUUUUCGUAAAAUUUGAUAACAACAUUUUCGUGCCGUGUUUUUCCUGCAGCACACUAUAGGCAUAGAUAAUAAAGAUAUAUGGAUAUGCUAUCCAUACCUUAUCGGUGUUGCAAGAGAGACGGGUACGGUUACUCCAAGUUUCAUAAAAUGAGGCGUUUUGUCUAUACAGCGAUGAAUGAUAAAUCGCCUCCGUUUACCGCCCCUCCGGGAACAUCGUCACCCAUACAAUUGUUAUGGAAGUGGCCUUUAUUAUCCAUGAUUAUAGGCCGUGUACGCAACCGUAGUAUCUAUGGCCGCGGUUACGACAUCAGCGCCGGGCCGGCCAACGGAACCGUGUCCU